rnacentral:lncRNA from 1 species
UUGGGAUUAGGAGGCUGGGUGGAGUAGAUGGCGGCCUGGAAAGUGUUGGCUGGGUGAGAUGCAUGUGGGAGAGACAGAAAAAUCGAACGACAGCUAGCUAGGUUAGAGGAACUGAAUUUAGUUUUAGGGUUUUAAGUUUGGGUUGGGCCCAAUUAACAUUAUUCUUUCAGAAUUACUACUCUCCCAUCUGUUUUUGCGCUGGGUGUUGAUGUAUUGAGUUGUAAAUCAUCAACGAUAUCCACCCGUGCGUAUGCGCACGGGUACAGACUAGUAUUUCACAAUUCCAAUUUCUCCGAUCUAGUCCUAUACAGAUUUGAGAAUUUUCAAAACUUGCUCAAACGCUUCUUCGACGACCUGGAGUUAGAAUUCAGGUUACAAAUCUUUCACGACGGUCUCCGACGGCGGCGUAAUCAGAUUUGUGGCGAGAGACGUAAGGUGAAAUGGAGAGCAGAAAUAUCAACGAUGGUGGAAGAUGAUUGGUUGUUUCGAAAUUUCUAGAACAGAUGCCGACGAUGCUGGUGAAAUCAGAAAUACAAUGUUGUGUUACAUACGACGGCGUUUCGUGUCUUUUUUUUCUUGA